rnacentral:rRNA from 1 species
GUGGGGAAUAUUGGGCAAUGGGGGAAACCCUGACCCAGCAACGCCGCGUGAAGGAAGAAGGCUUUCGGGUUGUAAACUUCUUUUAUGAGGGACGAAGAAGUGACGGUACCUCAUGAAUAAGCCACGGCUAACUACGUGCCAGCAGCCGCGGUAAUACGUAGGUGGCAAGCGUUGUCCGGAUUUACUGGGUGUAAAGGGCGCGUAGGCGGGAUAGCAAGUCAGGUGUGAAAUCCGGGGGCUUAACCCUCGAACUGCACUUGAAACUGUUAUUCUUGAGUGAUGGAGAGGCAAGCGGAAUUCCUAGUGUAGCGGUGAAAUGCGUAGAUAUUAGGAGGAACACCAGUGGCGAAGGCGGCUUGCUGGACAUUAACUGACGCUGAGGCGCGAAAGCGUGGGGAGCAAACAGGAUUAGAUACCCGGGUAGUCC